UACGGAGGGUGCCAGCGUUGUUCGGAAUCACUGGGCGUAAAGGGCGUGCAGGCGGCUUAGCAAGUCAGAUGUGAAAGCCCUGGGCUUAACCCAGGAAGUGCAUUUGAAACUGCUUUGCUUGAGUAUGGGAGAGGAGAGUGGAAUUCCCAGUGUAGAGGUGAAAUUCGUAGAUAUUGGGAGGAACACCCGUGGCGAAGGCGACUCUCUGGACCAAUACUGACGCUUAGACGCGAAAGCGUGGGGAGCAAACAGG
rnacentral:rRNA from 1 species